GGGGGGGGGGGGGGGGGGGCGGGGGGCGGGGGGGGCGGGGGGGGGCGGCGUCGAGGGCUUGCUGUUGAUGGGCGUCGACCGGCGCACGGGUGAGUAACGCGUAUCCAACCUGCCCAUCACUUGGGAAUAACCUUGCGACAGUAAGCCUAAUGCCCACUGCCAUCCCACGCAGGCCUCCGAAUGGGAUUAAAGAUUUAUCGGGGCUGUAUGGGGAUGCGGCUAAUUGGCUUGUGGGCGGGGUGACGUCCACCCAAGGCAACGAUCAGUAGGGGUUCUGAGAGGAAGGUCCCCGACAUUGGAACGGAGACACGGUCAAAACUCCUACGGGAGGCAGCAGUGAGGAAUAUUGGUCAAUGGGCGAGAGCCUGAACCAGCCAAGUAGCGUGCAGGAUGACGGCCCUAUGGGUUGUAAACUGCUUUUAUAAGGGAAUAAAGUGGGUCACGUGUGACUUUUUGCAUGUACCUUAUGAAUAAGGACCGGCUAAUUCCGU
rnacentral:rRNA from 1 species